GGCUGAGCAAGGUGCAGGAGUGCGCCGUGUCCUGGGGGCCGCCGCAGCCCGGCGGGGCGCCCGACCCCGACCUGCUGCGGGGCGGCGCCGAGCUCGGCGAGUUCCCCUACCUGGGGGGCCGCCUGCUGCUGGGGGAGCUCGGCGGGCCCGGCCCGGUGCUGCUCUCCGGCAAGCCCCCUAGCCCCGGGGACGUGCUGCUGGAGGUGAACGGCACCCCCGUGAGCGGCCUCACCCACCGCGACACCCUGGCCGUCAUCCGCCACUUCAGGGAGCCCGUGCGCCUCAAGACCGUGCGCCCAGGAAAAGUGAUCAACAAAGACUUGCGUCACUACCUGAGCCUGCAGUUCCAGAAAGGCUCAAUAGACCAUAAACUCCAACAGGUGAUCAGAGACAAUCUUUACCUGAGAACCAUCCCAUGCACUACAAGGGCUCCCAGGGAUGGGGAGGUCCCAGGGGUGGACUAUAAUUUCAUUCCUGUUGAACAGUUUAAAGCAUUGGAAGAAAGUGGAGCCUUGCUAGAAAGUGGAACAUAUGAUGGUAAUUUCUAUGGUACACCAAAGCCUCCAGCAGAGCCCAGUCCCUUUCAGCCAGACGCAGUGGAUCAAGUUCUUUUUGACAAUGAUUUUGAUGCAGAAUCCCAGAGAAAAAGAACCACGUCUGUCAGCAAGAUGCAAAGAAUGGAUAGCUCUCUCCCUGAGGAGGAGGAAGAGGAAGAAAAGGAAGCAGUUAAUGGCAGUGGAGGUGCAGAAAACCGAGAGAGACAUUCAGAUUCUUCUGACUGGAUGAAGCCUGUUCCUAGUUACAACCAGACAAGCAGCUCCAUGGAUUUCAGAAAUUACUUGUCAAGGGAUGAGAGCCUAGAGCCUCUACCCAAGAACUGGGAGAUGGCCUACACAGACACAGGCAUGGUAUACUUCAUAGAUCACAACACCAAGACAACCACUUGGCUUGAUCCUCGGCUCUGUAAGAAAGCCAAAGCUCCUGAAGACUGUGAGGAUGGAGAACUUCCUUAUGGCUGGGAGAAAAUAGAAGACCCUCAAUAUGGAACAUACUACGUCGAUCACAUUAACCAGAAAACCCAGUUUGAAAAUCCAGUGUUGGAAGCCAAGAGAAAAAAACAGCUAGGACAGACUGAUGUUGGCCCUUCAAAACCAGAACCAGAGAAGUCACUCUUCACCAGAGAUCCAGCCCAACUUACAGGAGUCCUUAUACGGACAUCAUUGAAGAAAAGCACUAUGGGAUUUGGUUUCACAAUCAUUGGUGGAGACAGACCUGAUGAGUUCCUCCAGGUGAAGAAUGUGCUGAAAGAUGGACCUGCUGCGCAGGAUGGGAAAAUUGCGCCAGGUGACGUCAUUGUAGACAUAAAUGGCAGCUGUGUCCUUGGCCAUACCCAUGCAGAUGUUGUUCAGAUGUUUCAGCUAGUUCCUGUCAACCAGUAUGUGAAUAUGACUUUGUGUCGUGGUUACCCGCUUCCUGAUGACAACGAAGAUCCUGCUGUAGACAUCGUUACAGCUACACCCAUCAUCAAUGGCCAGCCAAUGACCAAGGGAGAUAUCUGCAUAACCAGCCAAGAUUUAAUACCUGGAACAGUCAUUUUAGACCAAAAUGGGAAACCGGGUCACAUUUUGGUUAAUGGUCGCCUGAACAGCCCUUCCAUGGACCCAAAUGAACAGAGGAUCUCCGUAUCCUCUCCAGGAGGCUCCCAGCCAGAACUAAUCACUAUUCCUCUGGUCAAGGGCCCUAAAGGAUUUGGGUUUGCAAUCGCAGACAGCCCUACAGGGCAGAAAGUGAAGAUGAUUUUAGACAGCCAGUGGUGCCACGGCCUUCAGAAGGGAGACGUAAUCCAAGAGAUUUACCAUCAGAACGUACAAAACUUGACACAUCUGCAGGUGGUGGAGGUGCUGAAGCAGUUUCCAGUGGGAGCCGAGGUCCCGCUGCUUAUCUUAAGGGGAGGUCCCCCCUCACCUGCUAAAACUGCCAAAGUGAAGCUAGAUAAGCAGGAGAAUUCAGGAAGCUUAGAGGCUAUCAGUGAUUCCAUUCCACAGCCUAUGCCAUUCCCACCUGCUGCUGUGAGGUCAGGUUCUCCAAAACUAGACCCUUCAGAAGUCUAUCUGAAGUCUAAGACAAUAUUUGAAGACAAGCCUCCAAACACAAAGGAUUUGGAUGUUUUCCUGCGAAAACAGGAGUCGGGGUUUGGCUUCCGCGUGCUCGGAGGGGAUGGACCAGACCAGUCAAUAUAUAUUGGGGCCAUCAUCCCACUGGGAGCAGCAGAGAAAGAUGGCCGACUCCGAGCUGCUGAUGAGCUGAUGUGCAUUGACGGAAUCUCUGUCAAAGGGAAAUCACACAAACAGGUCCUGGACUUGAUGACCGGUGCUGCGCGGAAUGGCCAGGUGCUGCUCACUGUCCGGAGGAAGAUCUUCUUUGGCGUCGAGAAACAGCCAGACGAGGAGGAGUCGCAGCUGCCCAUUUCCACUCAAAAUGGAUCUCCCCGGCUGAACCGGGUAGAGGUCACAAGCAGACAGCCCCCAGAAGCCUAUGAUGUCCUGCUACAGCGGAAAGAGAAUGAAGGAUUUGGCUUUGUCAUCCUCACCUCAAAAAACAAACCUCCUCCUGGCGUGAUUCCCCACAAGAUCGGGCGUGUUAUUGAAGGGAGCCCAGCCGAUCAAUGUGGGAAGCUGAAAGUGGGAGACCGUAUCUCAGCUGUGAAUGGGCAGUCAAUCAUAGAGCUGUCCCAUGACAGUAUAGUGCAGCUGAUUAAAGAUGCAGGCCACGUGGUCACCCUGACUGUCGUUGCUGAGGAAGAGCACCGUGGCCCCCCUUCAGGAACCAACUCUGCCAAACAAAGUCCAGCCCCACAGCACAGACCUAUGGGAACAACACAAGCCAACUCUGCAACAGCAGACAGGGGAGUCACAGAAGAUGAAGCUGGAAGAGAACUUUCCAACAGUUACAGGCUUCCCUGGCCUGAGCACAAGCACUUGCCCCAGCCCGAUGGCGGUGUUCUCUCCGUUGUAGGCAGCCGUCAUUCUCAGAGUCUUGGCUGUUCUCCAGUAGAACUGGAACGAGGCCCUCGGGGUUUUGGAUUCAGUCUUCGCGGAGGAAAGGAGUACAACAUGGGCUUAUUCAUCCUUCGACUUGCUGAGGAUGGGCCUGCCAUCAAGGAUGGAAGAAUUCACGUUGGUGACCAGAUUGUUGAAAUCAAUGGCGAACCUACCCAAGGUAUCACUCAUACACGAGCCAUUGAGCUGAUUCAAGCAGGAGGAAAUAAAGUUGUUCUUCUUCUGAGACCAGGGACUGGCUUGAUACCAGAUCAUGGUGAUCAAGAUAGUUUUAAUCCAUCAUCCUCAAAUAUAAUAUAUGAUGAACAGUCACCAUUACCCCCCUCUGCAGUAUGUGAUUUACCAGUACUGGAAGAAGCUUUAGCAAAUGUUCACAUAUCUGAGAAACUGGAAGAAUCUAAGAACAUUGUGCCUGAAAAGAAAAGCACUUUAACUGAAAACCACUCUGAGCUGAAGCAUCUGUCUUCUACCCAGAAGCAUAUGAAGAGAUGGGACCAGCCUACCAGUUUAGGGUAUAAGCGGUCAAAAAAUUUAGAAUUAGUAACUGAUGACCUCAUUAGGAGAGACAGAUCUGAGAGUCCAAAAAGAUUGGGCACAUCUGGGGAAUCGCAGCAAGCGGGGCUCCACAGUCCAAGGAAAGGUGAGAGACAAAACACACACAGCAAUCUCUCAGACCAGUCUGAGCAUCCCAGGAGAGGUAAUACACACUCAGAAAUCAAUUUAAAAGAAACUUCCAGAGGAAGCCAAGGCAGAUCUGUCAGUCCCCAAAAGCAUCCCAAAAAGGAAGAAAGUGGGGACAAAUCAGACAAGUUACUAGAGACUCAAGAUAAAAUAGCUGGUGGUGGUGAUAUUGAGAUUAUUGAGCAGUUCAAAGAUGGAAAUGAAAAAUCAGGAAUAACACAGCAAGACACAAAGCAGAACAUUGCUAGAAAGAAUAAGAAGUGGUCUCAAGAGAGAGAAAACCCAAAAGCAGAUGAAAAGACUCUUCCAUUAAAUAAGGCCAAUGAGCCUAGGAGAAAAGUAGAUGAAGAUGAAAAAGGAAAGAAAGCCAGUGCUGGAGAGCCAAGUUCUAGCAACUUCAAAACUACAAGUCUUUCUGAUGUUUCACAGCUUUCCAAGGAAAAAAAAAGUAGGCUCGAAACACAAGAUCCAGUUAUUCUGAACAAAGACCACUCAGAAAAAGACUUGGAGCCAACUGAUGAAACCAAAGAUGAUGGAAUUUCAAAAACUGAAUGCAGCUCUCCAGUCAAGAAAGCACCAAUAACUCCUGGACCUUGGAAGGUACCAAGUGCAAGUAAAGUCACAAAAGCAACAGGUGUCACUGAAAAACGGGUCUGACUGACAAACAUUUUUAGAACAUGUUUUAAUCAGGUUUCUAAUACGGUCAAUUAAAUGCAUCUUUUUUCCACAAAGUUGUCAUUUUUCAGAAACUAACUCCAGAGGCUGGACAGUACAUUUGAUUUGUUCUUAAAAUUAACUAAGCUGCAUGAAGGACCUUUCGGAUUGCUUAUAAGCAACUCUCUUCCAUAAGCUGCUGUCCCCUCAUCCUUUUGAAGGCAGUGUCCUGCUGCUCUCUCAACAUUGCACUGCUAAGGCUUUCUCAGAUAGUAUUGUGAGUUUCUGAACAAACUUUCUUAAUGCCUGUAUUGCCAAUGUGAUCAUGACUCACUUCUUGUUCUUGUGCCAAGUUAUGUACUGUAGCCAAUCAAUUUCAUCCUCCUUGUACGUUCUUCCCAGACACAGCAAAGCCAAGAUUUUGUUUGAAAAUAGCUAUUUUCUCAAAGGCAUGUCGCAUGUUUAUAUAGGGGAAUAACUCGAGUUCUCACAACUUCAAUAAGAAGGUGAGUGUGCUGGUUCUAUUAACUUUAGGGCAGCAAAUGAGCCACUGAUGCUGCCCCACUGGCUUCUUUUCUUAAAAGUUCCUAAUACCUAAUGUGACAUUACUUAAAAAGAGAAUUGCAUUUUGUUCGGAUCUAUGGGGUUAGUUUUGCUUUCUGUUAGCAAAACAAAAUGUUUUAAUUUGCUUAAUUCGUUUAAGGUAAUUCUAGUAACUAUCUGCAAAACACAAAUUGCAAACAUAAUUUUGAAGACUAAGUGGUGAAAUCCUGGCCCUGUUAAGUUACUGGCAAAAACAUCCAUUGACUUCAAUGGGGCCAUGAUUUUACCUUGUCAGUUCUUUAGAAAUAAGGAAUGGACUUGGUACUAUGCUUUCAACCUCCGUCUGGUACUGUUUGUCAAAGCACCACAUACUAUAUGUUUCAAAAACACUUGGAAAUGUCCCAUCUUUACUUGUAAAACUAACAAUUGAUAGGUAAAAGCAGUAUUUGAAACAGCAAAUCCUGCUGUUGCAAACACAGACAGAACCAACCACAGCUUCUUUAAAAAGUCCCUCUGACCUGUGCCUACUAUUAGAAGUCUCCUGUGUUUUAUUUGUGUGUAAUUGCUUUUGGUUGAGUGAGAAAUAGAUGACAUACAGGGUACAUGAGACUUAAUAUCUAUUGUUUGGGCUUUAAUAUGUAUUUAAAUGUUGAGGAAUGUUAACAAGAUAUUUUUAUAGCAGUCUGCAGAAAUUUCAUGGAUUGAUUUACUCAAUAGCAUUCUUAAUGGAUUUGAUUUCCUGACCUGUGCUAGGUUUUCAAUGACUGAAAAUAAACAGUAAAAGGAGCUGGGCCAGUUCACAAAAGCAGAGGAAAAAGGUUCCGGGACUAGCUGCUCGAAGAAGCCGUCAUUUAAGAUGUCAAGAAACUAUCUCUGCAUCCCAUCCUGAGGAAUGUCCAUCUGCUAAAUCGUGUCCAUCCUCAGAGGAAACAGAUUAGGCCAUGGCGCUUUUAUUCAUUUUGACCUGGCAAAGUCAACUUCUAGCAAUGUGUUUGCACAAGUUACAACUACAGAAUUUACUUCUUGUGUUAUUUUAGAGGGUACAAGUUACAUCAAAAGAAAAAUAUUUCAUAGGCUUCUCAUCUAUUGCAAGUGGUUAAACAGACCUGUUGGAAAACAUCGUCUUUCAGGUCCCGUUUACUUCCUUUUACAUUCCCUUCCUCGCUGUCACUGGUGUAGGAAGAACGGCACUCUGGUCCAUGAAGCAGAUCAUCCCAGAGCAUGUCCUCUGUCUCAGAGUCAUGGCGGGUGCUUUCAGAGUCUCUCCGAGACACACUGCAGCUCUGGGACCCACCACUAAAACAAGACCUUGAUUCCUUUAAAGAAAAAGGAAGUUUACAAACGUAACUUCUCCAUACUGAGCCUUCAACAACAAAAAUCAUUUUUUAAUCUUCAAGUAAUAUGUUCACAACCACAUGGUCAAGCCAAGCCAACCUGAAGCCACUAUGACAAGCUAGAACAGAAAGGACAUUUCUACAGAGGGAUGCUUUUGCGACAUGAACUCACAGCAACAAGCUAUUAAUGUUUUCCCACCUUCAGAAUAACUUACACUAAUUUCAUGAAAACUCUGAAGGCCAGGAAAAUGGAACCAGAACUUAGAAUACAUUUUAAUAGCUUCGUCCUCAUUGUGGGACGGAGUUUAGUGAGAAUUUCUACAGCUGGAAAGGAGACUUACUACUUUAUUUCUAUGAAAAAUAGAAUUUUUAGAAUGCCUGAUGUUUACUCCAAUACAAUGUUAUCCUCCCAACAGCCAAGUUUCUAAUGAAGAGUGAUUAGAGGCCUCUGAGCGUGCUGCUGCUACCAAUAGAAUUUCAUAAAUUGAAUGUUAAGUUCAAAAUUCAAAGCACUGAAAAGGUACAAAAAUUAUGGAGUUUAAAUGGUCAGUUACAAAGCUCUUAAAAAAAAAAAACAACUCUUACCUGGAGGAGACAAUCUUCAUCUAAAUUCUUCCCUGCUUUACAACCUGGAAAGACUAUAAUCCCAAAUACACAGUUGAGGGCCGUGGAGUCUGCCUGGUUUAACCUGUCUCCCUUGGUACUGCAACAACCACUAUGCCUUUCAGACUAUGCAGGCAGUAAACAAUGGGGUCAAAUGAAAGCAUUUUGCAUUGGAAACAAAUCUCAUACACUUCUCUUGUGCUGUAAUCUAUUAUGAUCCACAAGCAGGGAGUAUCAUGUCAUAUGAAUGCUCACAGAAUUUCAUUUUUUGCAGAUCUGACCGUAAGACAGGGCUGUAUAAAAGUAUCAACAGGGGAAUGACCAGUGGGAAACCAAGACAGCAUUGAGUGUGACAGCCCAGGAUUCCAAGACUGCUUAAAGCUCUGGAAGGAAGACUGAUCGACAGCUUCGCUCCUCUGGAAGUGUGAGCAAUAAGAGUAAAGUCUGAGUGGAACAGAGAACCUUCUCAGAAGCUAGUCUGAGACUGUGAAACUAACUCCUCAAGGAGCUAAGGACUAUCACAAACCUCACCACUUUCUGUUCCAAGUGCAACACACAGCAACAGGUAUAUUUAACAAAACACACCCUAUCAAAAUAAGACAUCGUUGCACACACUUAUCCCUCUGGGCAGAGGAUGAGAGAACAAGUGACAUCUGGGUAGUCACGUGCUCAAUGCACUACUGCAAGGCAUUCAGAUACUACAGUGAUGAGCAUCGUAUAAAAACCUGAAUAGAACAGAUGUACCACUCUGCCCACCUUAAAUGAUGCAAAGGUCUCUGGUAUUUUAGAACCCCUACCUGACUAAAGGCUGUUGAGUCUAGUUCAGAUUCUUCCACACUAUCGGACUCUCUGGUACCUUUAAUGGCUUGAUUGACCUGCCAUAAAUAAAAAGGAAAAGUUAGUUGAGAGCCAAUAACAGUAAACUUCAUGGAAUCUUAAGGUAAACCAACAGAACUACCUGUGAAACUGACUGGUUUGAAGUAGUAAGAGGUCUCCUAUUCUUGUCUUCGUAGCUAUUGUCACUGGAGGCCCCUUCUACACUUCUGCGUAACAAAAUCCUCUGUGCCAUGGCUUCAGCAUCCUCUUCACUUGACAGCUCAUCAGAAAUGCCACCCAUAUGUGUGCCGCCCUCCUGGAAGAAAAGCAACCAUCUAAACAAACUAGAAGAUGGGGCUAAUAAAACUAAGCAGAUCUGCAUCAAGCAGAAGUAUCUGGCCAGUAUUACCAUUGCAAUGUUGUGGUUACCAACAGUGUGAAUUCCAGACUAAUACAGUAGCCAAUAAAAGGGAAAUUACUUCUACAAGUACAAGCAGAACGAGGAGUUAAAAGAAUCAAACAAGUUCUACAACUAAUGGGCCAGCCCUGUCAUUGCAGCAGUGGAAAGGGGGGGAGAAACAUCCAACCUCUCCAGCAGCUAAAACAGAAAAGGAGGUAAUUCAACUCCUGAUCUCCUCCCCCUUCAUUUCCACAGCCUGAUGCCUCAAAGGCCAGCAACAUCCACAAGUCUUUGUGUGACCCUGGGCAUGUCAUGAAAGCUGUGGCCCAACAACCAAGUCUAUUCCCUCCCUGAAUGCCUUCUUCAUGUAUUAGAGACUUUGGGAGCACUGCUAUUCUUGUCUAAGUAACUCUCACCAAUCCCAAAGUCUUCAUUUUAGUGCUUGCACAGAUAAAACUUUGGUUUUUAAGGUCACAUACAAAAAUUCCAUCAGGUGAACCUGAAUUAUCUCCCAACAGAAGGACACACUAAUUGUUUGCAGGGCAGAUGUUUUACAUAGUAGAAUUUUGAAUUCUGUUUGUUUUUAAAUCAACCAACCUUUGAAUUGAAGACCAUCCAAAUAAACAAGCAUUUCAGUAUAAA